rnacentral:rRNA from 1 species
CUGACUGCUAUCGGAUUGGUACUAAGCCAUGCGAGUCAUUGUAGCAAUACAAGGCGGACGGCUCAGUAACACGUAGUCAACCUAACUCGUGGACGUGGAUAACCUCGGGAAACUGAGAAUAAACCACGAUAGAUCAUAGUGCCUGGAAUGGCUUAUGGUCCAAACAGUUUACUGCCAUGGGAUGGGACUGCGGCCUAUCAGCUUGUUGGUGAGGUAAUGGCCCACCAAGGCGAUUACAGGUACGGGCUCUGAGAGGAGUAGCCCGGAGAUGGGUACUGAGACACGGACCCAGGCCCUAUGGGGCGCAGCAGGCGAGAAACCUUAGCAAUGUGCGAAAGCACGACUGGGUCAGUCCGAGUGGUUCCUGAUAAAGGAACCUUUUGUCAGUCGUAAAACCACAGACGAAUAAGGGGUGGGCAAGUCUGGUGUCAGCCGCCGCGGUAAUACCAGCACCUCGAGUGGUCAGGACGUUUAUUGGGCCUAAAGCAUCCGUAGCCGGCUCUGCAAGUCUUCGGUUAAAUCCACCUGCUCAACAGAUGGGCCGCUGGAGAUACUACAGAGCUAGGGAGUGGGAGAGGCAGACGGUAUUCAGUGGGUAGGGGUAAAAUCCUCUGAUCCAUUGAGGACCACCAGUGGCGAAGGCGGUCUGCCAGAACACGUUCGACGGUGAGGGAUGAAAGCUGGGGGAGCAAACCGGAUUAGAUACCCGGGUAGUCCCAGCUGUAAACGAUGCAAACUCGGUGAUGCAUUGGCUUAUGGCCAAUGCAGUGCCGCAGGGAAGCCGUUAAGUUUGCCGCCUGGGAAGUACGGACGCAAGUCUGAAACUUAAAGGAAUGGCGGGGGAGCAC